UUAAUUUGAUACUAUUUUUGAAAGUCAGUGUUUCUAAGGGAUACCUAAUGACGCAAUGACGUCAAUGCAGGUCAAUAUCACAGCACCAGAGAAAGAGAGAGAGAAAAGAGGGAACGAUUCGAAGUCUCCUUGUGGACAUUCUUGUCCAGCCGCGUGUUGAACGCGCGUCCUUCUCCUUCAUCGCUCUUGUUGGUGCUCGUUCCCUUUUAAUUCGCUUCCCCUCAGGUUCGGAGGACAGCCCUGCGUCACGAGGAGUCGUGCUGGCGGUGGAGGAGGAAGUGGAGGAGCUGUUGCUGCU
rnacentral:lncRNA from 1 species